rnacentral:rRNA from 1 species
UGGGGAAUAUUGGGCAAUGGGCGCAAGCCUGACCCAGCAACGCCGCGUGAAGGAAGAAGGCUUUCGGGUUGUAAACUUCUUUUGACGGGGAAGAGUAGAAGACGGUACCUGUCGAAUAAGCCACGGCUAACUACGUGCC